GCCCGGCUAGCUCAAUCGGUAGAGCGUGAGACUCUUAAGACUCUCGCACAGUCAGGUAUCUCAAGGUUGUGGGUUCGACCCCCACGUCGGGCU